CCUGCCUCAAGCUGGGAGGACAGACGGUUGACUGACACUGCCUGCUUGGUUGGCCAUUACCGAUUCCUGAGAAGAGGAGGAACGCCAAGCUUGGAUGAGACUGGAAAAUUACGAAGCUGCUAUCUGGACAAGGAUGCCCUCAUCAGAUCCUUUCCAAUUUGCGGAAUAUUGGAUCAAAAAUCAGACUGCAUAUUAUUUUGCAAUAUUAUAAAACAUAGAAACGACGAAAAUACGAAUUCUGGAAACAAAAAUCAAAUCGGUCCAAAUUAAAUUACAACGAAAAUCACACAGUACGUGGAGUUUCUUCUCGAAGCACGGCACUCUGUUUCUACAGGUAGCUACAGGAAAAUUACAAAAAAUACACCGAAAAUCAACGCGACAUAUAAGUGAAGUGACGAAACAUAGUUUGCACGGCUAAAAAAUCACAGCGUUAGUGAGAGAAAUAAUACUUGAUAUCAGUGUUAUUUUUCUUACCUACAAAGUAAAAAAAAAUCGAUUGCGGAAGAACCAAAUUAAAGAGACGAAAAUCACGGUAAGAAAGAUUAACAGCGGCAGCGAAAGAAAUAAAUAUUUGAAAAUCGGUAAUUUUCUAAACUUCUAGGCCCUAUGCCAUGAUGCAAAAAUUUGCUAAAAAAAUUUCAAAUUAUAAUCUGCAGCCACUUCCGGUACGGUACUACACUGCUAAAAAAAGUCGGAAAGCGAAUUUUGGUAAACGGUGGGGAAAAUGACGGCAGGAAAAACGUUUUAGAAAAUGACGGAAAUUAAGGAACAACUCUUGUAUCGAUGUAAAGAAAAUGACUGAAUUUCAAUUAAAGCAGCAUGUUAAAGGCAUUCCUCAAGUUCUAGGCCUACACCACAUCUUUUAAGUAUUAUUCGUCGGCGAAAAUAACUGCAAUUGGGACAUUGUCAAGAAGUUUCCCUUCAAAAAGGCCAAAAAUAGCCAGGUUAUGCAUGUGAAAGGGUACAACUUAAGUGUAAUCAACAAAGCGAUAGGGAAAAUGGCUGUAUAAGACAUGCGACAUAUUUACUAUCGCAUGCGACAUUUCUUCGUGUUUUGUAAAGGUUUAAACUUAAUCUACAUCAUUUAUGUGAGUCCGAUUUGGAAAGAUCGGCAGGGAUACAUGUUUUCAUCAAGUAUAUAUUUCUCCUUUGAGUUACUCAUUUGGUUGUCUUACUUUGACCUUUGAUAACGUACAAGGUCGACAGCGCUGUUCGCAUGUAAAAGGGUACAACCUAAGUGUAAUCAACAAAGCGAUAGGGAAAAUGGCUGUAUAAGACAUGCGACAUAUUUACUAUCGCAUGCGACAUUUCUUCGUGUUUUUGUAAAGGUUUAAACUUAAUCUACAUCAUUUAUGUGAGUCCGAUUUGGAAAGAUCGGCAGGGAUACAUGUUUUCAUCAAGUA